rnacentral:lncRNA from 1 species
UUAAAAAUAUCAUUCACUACUAUCUUAAGUUUUUAAAAAAUAAUGAUUGUUUUAUAUAAUUUAACAUGGUACCAGAAUUGAAGAUACUGAUCGAGUGACAAAAACGUUUGUUUCAUAUAAUUUAACACAGAAUCAGAGCUAGGGAUCGUAAGUCACUGUCACGCCCCGGGGUCCCUUUUUAUUUGAACACAGCGGAAAAAGCGUCUAAAUUUUUUUUUUUUUUUGAAAGCCUGACCCCAGAGUAUGCCAGAUCCGCCACAAACACAGGGAAUCCACUGUUCACACGGACAGAGUCUCCCCUGUAUUUGCACGGCGUCACACAAGUACAAGAAGUAACCCAGAUACAACCACGACCAAAUGAACAUACAAAUAACCAACAAUUAUAUGUUCAUACACCAUUCACAUCACAGGUUCACAUUUAUAUAUUCGAUAUUUAAACAUAAAUCCACAUCUAUCAGUUAAAAUGUUUCCAACCACAGAAACAGGUUUUGAAAUACUAAGAUGCAAAAUCCACAGAAAACCUUUUGAAAACUGUUUCCUACACGGAAACCUUUAUUC